UACAGAGAUCUUAAUAGUGCCUCCAGGGCGAGCAACAUCCCAAUAUUCGAAUUUAUCGAUUCAACCACAAAAACAAAAUCCCUUCGUAAUAUCAGUCAUUUGAGGAAUUUAGCAAAUCGCACCUGUUUUCAGAAUGCUAUGCAUCUCCUGUGCAUACGUGCAACCAUUGAUGACAUUCGAAUCCGAGAA
rnacentral:sRNA from 1 species